rnacentral:lncRNA from 10 species
AAGUCCAGUCUUUUUGACAUGCGUACAUUUUCUACAGUAGCAACCACAGUGCACACACACAGUCUUCCAGCCUGCUCUGCUCGCGUGCCUUUCUGUUGUGAGCUUUUUUCCACGUGGCUACGUUGGGGACCUCCGUGAUGCUUCCUGAGUGCUUACUAUGCGCCAAGCGCUGCUUUCACCAUUUUACAGGUUUUCACUCUUUCAAUCGUUCUAAG